rnacentral:misc_RNA from 1 species
CCGCGGUAAUUCCAGCUCCAAUAGCGUAUAUUAAAGUUGUUGCAGUUAAAAAGCUCGUAGUUGAAUUUCGGGAUUGACACAUCGGUCGUGCCUUAAGGGGUAUGAACUGGUGUAGUCAAUUUCUCACCUUCUGGAGAACCGCGAUGCCCUUAAUUGGGUGUCGCGGGGAACCAGGACCUUUACUUUGAAAAAAUUAGAGUGUUUAAAGCAGGCAUUUUGCUUGAAUACAUUAGCAUGGAAUAAUAAAAUAGGACGGCAUGAUUCUAUUUUGUUGGUUUCUAGGAUCACCGUAAUGAUUAAUAGGGAUAGUUGGGGGCAUUAGUAUUCAAUUGUCAGAGGUGAAAUUCUUGGAUUUAUUGAAGACUAACUACUGCGAAAGCAUUUGCCAAGGAUGUUUUCAUUAAUCAAGAACGAAAGUUAGGGGAUCGAAGACGAUCAGAUACCGUCGUAGUCUUAACCAUAAACUAUGCCGACUAGGAAUCAGACGAUGUUAAUUUUUUAAUGACUCGUUUGGCACCUUACG